GUCCAAGCUUCGGCUGGACAUUUAGGUACUAUAAUUAAAACGAUACAGAGAAGAUAAGCAUGGCCCCAGCGCAAGGCUAUCCACAAACUAAGUGCAGAGAUCCCAUUCUUG